GUGUGUGAGCACAUACACUGACAUUGGGACAAUUCAAAGAAGAUUAGCAUGGCUCCUGUGCAAGAGUGGCAUGCAGAUUUAUGACCCACUUCCUAUUUAA
ensembl:snRNA U6 U6 spliceosomal RNA